AUCCAGCAGUCGAGUCCUAAAUAGGACGAAACACGCUUCCUGGAU
rfam:Schistosoma haematobium scaffold270_23, whole genome shotgun sequence.